AGGGAUCAUUACACAAAUAUGAAGGCGGGCUGGAACCUCUCGGGGUUACAGCCUUGCUGAAUUAUUCACCCUUGUCUUUUGCGUACUUCUUGUUUCCUUGGUGGGUUCGCCCACCACUAGGACAAACAUAAACCUUUUGUAAUUGCAAUCAGCGUCAGUAACAAAUUAAUAAUUACAACUUUCAACAACGGAUCUCUUGGUUCUGGCAUCGAUGAAGAACGCAGCGAAAUGCGAUAAGUAGUGUGAAUUGCAGAAUUCAGUGAAUCAUCGAAUCUUUGAACGCACAUUGCGCCCUUUGGUAUUCCAAAGGGCAUGCCUGUUCGAGCGUCAUUUGUACCCUCAAGCUUUGCUUGGUGUUGGGCGUCUUGUCUCUAGCUUUGCUGGAGACUCGCCUUAAAGUAAUUGGCAGCCGGCCUACUGGUUUCGGAGCGCAGCACAAGUCGCACUCUCUAUCAGCAAAGGUCUAGCAUCCAUUAAGCCUUUUUUUCAACUUUUGACCUCGGAUCAGGUAGGGAUACCCGCUGAACUUAAGCAUAUC
rnacentral:rRNA from 1 species